GAGGGUAUAGCUCACUGGUAGAGCGCGUGCUUAGCAUGCAUGAGGUCCUGGGUUCAAUCCCCAAUACUUCCA
rnacentral:tRNA from 1 species